CAGUUAUCAAGUCGUUGUCAUG
rnacentral:miRNA from 1 species